CGUACUGCAAGUUAAACGAAUGAUCCCAGCGUAAUAUAUACUAUCAAAAAAUACUAAUGAAAGUAUAACUGUGAAGUCAAACAACUAUAAUGCUUUAAAAAAAAAAUUCGACAAAAAUUAGCUACUUUGUUAAGCUAAAGACUAUAAAUUUAUCGAUACUAAAAGCGAAUGAUAAGAAGGCAAUGAGAAUCAUAUUAUAG